rnacentral:lncRNA from 1 species
AUCCCCUAAUCCAAUAGAUGUAAUCAAUUCCAAUGAAUCUUCCAGUCCAUUUUCUUCAUAAACACCCAAAAUCCUCUCAUCAUCUUGCAAUGUACCUAUCUUGUGUAACUGUCCUUCAAUAUCAUAUAAUCUUUUUCUUUCUUUUCUUUUAAAAUCAUCAACUUUCUUAUACAUAAUAUUUCCAUUCUCCAAUAUACCAAUAAAACUCGCAUCAAAGGUACCUUCAUCUCGCGAGAGUACCUCCUCUUUUGUACCUCCAUAAUCUCGCUUUACAGUGGUACCUCCCCAAAAUCCUUAAAUCCUUCAACAAUCUUUGGCAUUGGUUUCUCCCUCAACCUAUCUCGAUUCUGUUCAUGGUUAGGAGGUACUGUUAGAAAUUAUACAGCUUUCCUCCCAUCUUCGCUUCGUACCCUUGCAUAAGCAGAACCAUCGUCAAGUACCUUUGUUUCCAUCCAUGUUGCCAUGAUAUAAGGUUGUCCUAAAAUCAACGGAUAAGACGUUGUAUCUUGAACGAAGAAAUGUUGCUCCGUCGCAACAUCCCCAAUCCGAAUUUUGACAUCUGGACAAGCUCCAUAUAAUUCGCCUCGUGUGUUAUUAGCUGCUCGUAUUGCCCAUCCAUGUUCCAUAUCAAUUGGCCAUUUUUGCUUCUUAUAAAGAUCUUUAGACAUGAGAUUUAUUUCAAAACCAUGGUCCACCAAGGCAACUAUUGGUUCUUCUAUAUCUCCUACCUUCACCAAUACCUCAGUAGUUGCCCUUGCCCAAUGCUUUCGAGUAUAAUGGCUCAAAGUUUCCAUUUCCUUGUCACUAGAAUCUUUGAAACGUACUCGCUGAUUAUACCCAUUCUUUUCAUUUGUUGGUUGCUUGUAACCAAUAUCAACCUCUUCUUCAUCUCUACAUAUUCUUGCAUCAAUAGCAUGACUCAUUCCAGUUUCGCUCAUUAAUUGCCUCUUUCGCUUAAUGCUGUCAAUGAUAACAUUAUGAAACUCCUUCUUUGCAAUUUCCAAGACUUCUUUCAAUGUGAAUUCCACCUUAGCGUUUAAUAUACGUUCUUCCAACACCCCUUUCAAAUUUGUUGCCGCUUCAAUGUCAGAAAGUAGCUUAUAAGCAAUUGAUUUGUCCUUAUCUUUUGUCUCCGUUGUUUUUUCUCCCAAUCAUGCUGAGGUAUCCUUUACAGGCAAUUCUUGUGAAGCUGCCUCCUGAGCCUUGUCUCCUCGAGUUUGCCUCUUAAAAGAAUUUCCUUCUCUAGUAUCAUCAAAAUUUCCUCGUCUUUUUUCUUCCAUCAAAGCUUCAUGUUGGCUCUUAGCAAUAUAUGCAUGAACUGAAAGAGACUCAACAGGAUCCUCCCAACCUGUUCUUCCUCGUAUUGUAGCUGCAGUUCUCAAUAACGCUUCUCGAGGUAAUUUCCCUUCUUGCAUUGUAGAAACGGCAGAAGCCCAAAACUCACUAGUUUCCGUACUUCCACCAAUUUCAUCAUCUACUCUAGCACCAUAACUUGCACUUUCUCGUACUACUGUUUCAUGCUCUUUUAAGUAAUCUUGAACCAAUGCUCUCAUUCCUCCCUUGCCAAAAUUGGUUUAAAGAAGAUCUUCCCUAUCUUUCAAUGCUAUCUUCCCAUCUUUUCAGCAAAUAAUUCCCUGCCGUAUCAUAUUAUUAAAUUCAUUGCAAUCUUUUCUAGUGUGUGAAGCAUCAUCACACCAAAUGCAUCUUUGUACAUAUCCUUGUUUUGAAACAUUCUUCGAAUUAUUUAUAGAAGUAUUCUCUUCAAGUCUUGCCAAUUUGAUUUGAAGAUCUCGCAUUCCUCGUAUAAUUUCUUCCAUACCCAUAUUUGCUUUCUUUGACAAGGAUGUCGAAGGUUGAACUGUAGGCAUUGUCGGUGGUGUUGUACGUAUUGGAGCUUUGGGUGCUUGUACUGUUUUUGGAAUAUUGCUCCUAUCCUUCCUCCUUUCUUUUUUUGUAAGCAACCCCACCGCAUCUUCAAUGUUCUUCCACUUCGUUGUCAAUCCUUCAUCUUCUUCUUUGUCUCAAGAAGGGGUUCUAAUUUCUCUUGUAAUUCUCCAUCAGCAGCUUGAAGAAAUAGAUCAACUUUGUUCGGCUCCAAUGUCAAUUUUUCUACCUUCGAUAAUUGAGAGUAUUGCCUCUCAAAUUCCCUUAGUAGCUCUGUUGCUUGCAAAUUCUUAUUGGGCCGUUCAAUCCAUCCCAGAAACAGCUUCUUAGUAACGUGAUCUGCAUCUUCUAAGAAAUAUUCGUCCUUCAAUGCAUGUGAAAAAUCCUCCCAUGAAUUCCCACAACGAUCCGUAAUCGAUGUAAUGUGGUCCCUUAUCUCCGGUAUCGUGGCAAGUCCAAAUAGUGCAAUCAUUUUCUUCUCAGAAACCCGAUUUAAUUCCAUUUCACGAACAUAACAUCUUAAAUACCUUGAAAUAUUCCUCCCAUCAAAUUGAUCAAUUUUAUUGACCACUGCUUGCAAUGCUUUGGUUGCCAAAGCUUCCUUUCGAUCAUUGCUUUGCUGUUGCUGCAUUGAUAAUGAGAAGGCUUGAAACAAACUAGAAAUAGACGGAUCCAUGUGCAUACCUUGUCCUUUAGAAGACUCCCCACCAGAAACUUCUCCCAAAAAUCCUUCAAAAUUUUUAUUUUUGUUUUCCAUAAAAAUAAAGAUAAAAUCAACCAAAAUCCAAUACCUUCUACCUCAAGCAUUCACGUCGGGUUCACCUCUUUUGUUGUAUUACGUGCUUUCCUGCUCGAGAACGCGCCGAGCGUCUGGCUGUAGAAGGUAGUAUGGAGAUUCACCGAUAGUCAAGCAGUCUAUCAGUUUUUGACUGCUGGAAUGUAAACGACUGCAAUAAUGUACGAUAAAUCUAUACGGAUGCUCCUCGACUGCUUGUCGAAGUCUUUUUUUUUGCCCCAGCCGGUAGGUCUCUAGACGUUACAGAGAACCCCGAACAAUCCAAAUUGUUAAUCUUCAAUAUCCCUUUGUACUUACGAUCUUCUAUCCACUGACUGUCCUGUUAGAUUAAUCCAAUAAAUCUCAUUGACUCCGCAUACUCAAUCCUAUAGACACCUCUUUAAUCCUUCAAUCACAGACGUAACUCGAUUUUACAAAACAGUCAAGAGUAUUCAAACCCACUUCAUUUAAAAAUCGCGAUUCACCAUUACAACACUGACUUCAGCAGCGAUUGCCUCAGUCUUUCCAAAACUCUACGAAGAAGAAAAAUCCAAAUUCUAUGUCUUUCCUUCCUCGACCCAAAGCAUGAAGCUCCUCUCUCUAAUUCCCUUGAUCUCCAAAACCCUCCAAUGAAAACCGAACUAGUAACCUUGAAAAGAGCUUGAAGCUAGCUCCUUGAUCCAAAAAAACCCCGAAAGAAAAAAAACCUCCCCCCUCAAAACUAUAUCCUUCCUAACCUUAUCCUCUGAAUUUCUUCAAUCUUCCGUCUUAGAUCCGGAAUUGGCUCCCACCUCAAGCUUGGAUCCGAAAUUGGCUCUCGCCGUCAAGCUUUCUCCUCCAUUUUUACCUUUAAGAGAUCCAUUUACCGUAAACAACGUUCCCUGAAACGGCACAGAGAACAGGACAGCCCGAAACAGAAUCGAAAUCCUGUAAUCGGGACCACAUUGAGUCGCCUGACCAAUUCAGGUCCCAUAUUGGGUAAGAUGCCCGUAGUAACCUGGAUGUUCCCAAAAUUGGGUCAAAUUGGUCAUCGCGUCAGAUUGGCUAAGACCCGUAGUAAGACCUGGAUUUCCCGUAAUUUGACCGGCCAAUUCAGGUCUCAUAUUGGAUAAGAGGACCCGGAUUGGAUUAUCGAAAUUGGAUCCAAUUGGCUCCUCGAACCCGUCGUGUGAAUUGGUCCUUCUCUUCCUGCUGACUCUCGUUAUUGGAAUCGAAUGGAGCAUUUCAGUAUGCCCCGACUGACUGUAACGGAGUGACUGAACCUGACCACUCAGUAUUUGUACUGGAGUUGGUUGAUGCUCCCAAUAUUCGAGGUAACUGAAUAUUAAUAAAAUUCCCCUUUCUUUUUAUUUUCACUGUAUACUCGUGUUACAACACGACAACGGAGCUUGUAAAAUCAUUUCUUUCAACGCGUAAGAUUGUUCUCUCAAUUAGAUUGAUAUUGGUUCCUUGGAAUUCAUGCCUCUUAGAAGAUCUUUCUAUGGAAAGAACGUUUCUUGAAAUUAUAUACAGAACGGAGCAACUCAACAUGGAAUUGAAGCCUCCGUAAUUGGUAUCUCAUUGGAUAGCCCAACCAAUUUAAGUCUUAUACUGAGUAAGGGGCCUAUUUCAGGACCUGGAUUGCAUGUCUUCAUAAUUGGGCUCUUUGCUUCAGGAUCACUCAAAUGUUGAAUUGAUCAUUUUUUUUUAUAUUGACUUCUUGUAAAGACAGCUUGGACUACUUCUACUCGAUGAACUGAUGAAUCUUGAGGACCUUGAUUUAUCUCCUCCAUUUUUCUUUGGCUUUGGAUCUCCUGAUCUUGAUUAUUGAAAUUGAACGGAGCAUUACAUUGCUAAUAAGUAUGUCCCAACUGCUUCCAAUUCAUAUAUACUUGUACAUAAUCAUCAUUGGCUUCGGAAUUGGGACAUUCAUUGGCAUAAUGACCAAUCUGUAUACAACGGAAACAACAAAGUGGUCUUUUUGCACUCCCAUCUGGCAUAUUGGAUGUUUCCAUCAAAAAAUACCUACUAGGCUUAUUCCAUGUAGGGUUAGAAAAUGAUCCUGGUUGUCACAUUUGUAUGGAGGGUACUUAGUUCGAUGACGCUGGUGGAGCAUAUUGGUGAUACCUCUGCUCCUCCUACCUGUAGUUUUGGGAGUUUGAUGCAGACCCUUGAUUAAAAUUGGAACUUCAAAAGUUAUUGAAUGUUUGAUUUUAUCGAUUAGAUCGAUUUCUAUUCCAUCCAUACAUAUUUUCCAUUUGAACUUGAUUGACCUCCCACUGAGUCGGUGGAAUCAUGGUCUGAUUACUGAAUUGUUGUUGCCUUUGUAAAUGCUAGUAGUUUUAGAUAGGAUGCUUUCCUCCGCAAAAUGUACAUUGAACACUCGUUUGUCUGGGUGAUGGACAUUCCGUAUCAAAAUGACCUUGUCCCUUAUAAUUAUUACACCAUACAUUAGAUCUCAUAUUAGAAGGCUUAUGUCAUUUCUACUUAUCUUUAGCCAAAUUCACAGCCAAUUCUUCCAUCUUUUUUGUUAGAUUUAAUAACAAGGCUUCAUUUGGAUCUUUAAUAGUCACAUUUGUGAACAAUUUCAGCUGUUGAUAGGGUGGCAAUGUAAAAUAAGGUAUCAUCAUUAUUGGCGCUAUUGCUUAGAGUGAUUAAGCAUUAAUUGGUUGUUGCAACAUAACAUUCUUCACAUUGGAGGCAGCCAUUUGUGGAUAAUUAUCCAUCGAUACAUUUUUCGGUUGUAUUUGUUGGCUUCCUAAAUUUGAAAUCAUCGUGGCCUCUACUGUUAAUAAUUGAUCAUAAUGAUAUUCUUUCCACAUCUUUGCUCAUGCCAAUGAUGCCUCUACAGUAGCUGGUCAAGCUUCUUUUACAAACAUUUUUAAUUCUGAUAGAUGCAAACCGUUAAUUAAUAUCGACAAUAUAAACGCAUCUAGUAUUUGAUUAUUUGACCAUUUACGAAAUAUAUCUGCGAUUUGGCCAUUAUAAGACUCUACGAAUUUCUCCACAAACAUCCUACUAUUCAUAAAACUUUCUCGAAGUCGAUCUUCAAAUCCAAUUGAUCUAAAAUGGAUUAGAAAGGCAUUCCUCAAGGCCACUCAAUUGAAAAAUCUAUCCACUGGUUGCCGAAUAUACCAUUCAAAAGCUGUAUCUUUUAAAGUUGCUGACAACCAUCUCAACCAAAUAUCUUUAGUUCUACCAUUAUUAGCCUUGUAGGCUGUCAAGAAUUGAGAUAUAUGGUGAUUGGUAUCAAAAUCUAGCCAACCACUAAAAAUAGAUAAUGGUGCCACACUUGUAGUUCAGUCUCCUACUGCUCCUAUUUAUAUUGCAAUUGGUACUUCUGGUACUCCCACGGCCAUUGGUGUUAUCACUAGUCUCUUUACUAUUUGAAUCUGAAUUUUUCUUCCUUUGGUUUUUCUUGGACCUACAAUUCCUUUUUGUUGUUCACGUAGGAUAUUUCUUAUGCUUAAUCACUCCUAUCUUUCUUUUGUUUGUUGAUUAAUUCUUUGAUAAUCCUCCCCUUUAUGAUUAUCACUCAUAAUCUUUCAUUCUUUUUGGCAAAAUUAAUAUUGCCUUGAAUUAUAACUCACAUAUUUGUAACCCUAAAACUAGUUCUUCUCACAUUUUCAUUCAACAUAUAAUUCCAUCUCCCACACAAUCAAUUUCUAACAUUUCAUAUUGUUAUCAUUUCCUUGGCAGCUACGCCAAAAUAUUGUUCUCGUUGUAUUCAAGCUUCAGUGUACCAAAGCAAUUGAACUAAUAGAGGUGGGUUCAAACAUGGAGAAAGAUUGGUUAUAUGAAUUGAGUCUGUUAGUAUCACAAUUGACUGUAUUCUUGCUAUCUCAAAUCAAGUAUCAAACUACAAAACACCGAGGCUUCCUACUUCCAUCUUAAUUCAACCCAUAAUCCAUUCUACGAUUAUCAAUUCAACAAUACUUCUCUCAAUCACAAUUCCUCAUAAGCAAAUAAUAAAGAAAAUAAAGUGGUAGCACCAAUCUUACCUCGGCUUACGACUCUCAUAGUUUGGCUCUCGGCUUCUCUUUCUUCAACCUAUUUAUUCUACCAAAAAGAUGAUCUGUCGGCCAGCAGAUUCCAAGGGUUAUGAUCAUUUGAAUUCUUAACCAUUUAUUCCACUAAUAACCUACGGUUAUCAACUAAACUGUCUAACCAUUUGUCUAAUUCUCAAGGUUAUCAAUAACCAACGAGUAACUUAUCAAAAAGUUUAUUUACCUAUUCUAUAUACCCCAUUGCAAGCUGUACCAUUGAAUGUGACAAUAGCAUAUGUUCCAUAUUUUUCGUACUAAAAACAAGCGUUAACUACAACAGAGUUACCAUUAAUACCAGCUCCAAAAGAUUCCAAUGAAAUCUUGUUAUUGAACUUGAUGAAGAAAAUGGAGGAAAUGGCCAUUAAUAUGGCCAAGGAUAAGGAGAAGAAACACAAGCCUACCAAUAUUAGGACCAAUGUAUGGUGCAGUAAUUGUAAGGGCCACAGUCACUUGUUAACAGAAUGCCCUUUACUCUCACAAAUGAUGGAUCAAUGUACAUUUUAUGGAGAAAAGCACUUAAGAGUUAAUUUUUGGAAUUAGCAAAAGUAACAACAAUUAAGUAAUCAGACCAUGAUCCCACCGAUGCAGUGAAAAGUCAAUCAAGUUUAAAUGAAAAAUAUGUUUGGAUAGAAUGGAAAUCGAUCUAAUUGAUAAAAUUGAACAUUCAAUAACUUUCAAAGUUCCAAUUUUAAUCAAGGAUCUGCAUCAAAUCUCCAAAACUAUGGGAAGGAGCAGUAGAGGUAUUAGUAAUAUGCUCGACCGGCGUCAUCGAACCAAGUACCUUCCAUACCAACGAGACAACCAGGAUCAUUUUCUAACCCUACAUGGAACAAGCUUAGUAGGUAUAUAUCUAUGGAGACACCCAAUAUGCUAGAUGGGGGUGCAAGAAGACCACUUCAUUGUUUCCAUUGUAGACAGAUUGAUUAUUAUGUCAGUAAAUAUCUCAAUCCGAGAGCCAGUGAUGAUUAUAUGCCAAUGUGUAGGAAUUACAAGCAAUCAAGGUAUACUUAUUAGCAAUGUAAUGCUCCAUUCAAUUUCAAUAAUCGAGAUUAGCAAAUCCAAAACCAACGAAAAAUAGAAGAAAUAAAUCAAGGUCCUCAAGAUUCUCUAGUAAAUCAGAUGGAAUGUGUCCAAGCUAUUCUUAUCAGGAGUCAACAAAAGAGAAAAGGACCAAUUUAAUAUUUGGAUGAGCUUGAUGUGAAAGGCCAAUUUGACCUAAUUAUAGGAACAUCCAAUCUAGAUCUUGUUACGGGCCUCUUAUCUAGUAUGAGACUUGAUUUGGUUGGGCAAUCCAAUGAGGUCUUGAUUAUGGAGGCUUCGAUUUCAUUUCAAGCUGUUCUGUUCUCUACGCAAUUUUGAAAAAUAUCCUAUUCGUUGAAAGAUCAUCUCGAGGGCGCAAAUUCCAAAGAAGCUCAGGCUACUGUUCUAAUUCAAAGUUCUGGACAAAAGAAUAUCUUACCUCUCGAAGUUAAACAUAACCCAAUGAAAAGAAAAAGGGCAUUGGGAAUUACCUUAAAUAUGGAACUCUAUGACAUUUUGAAGGAUCUUGAUACUAUUUGACCUUCUAUUUCUAUGAAAAAACUUCUAGUAGUCCCACCAAAGUGUUGUUUUACAUUGAAUUUAUCAUUAACACGGCAUAGGCAACGCAAUAAGGAAGUUUGUGAAGUCAAUUUGAACCUUGACUCAGGUGCACCAACCAUCGAUGUUUCGAUUGACAGUGUUAUGAUCUCGAAUGUUCAGGUGGAUGGUGGUUCCAAUGUCAAUUUAAUGAACGUUGAUACAAUGGAUGCUUUAGAUUUGGAACACUUAGUACCUACAACAUUGGUAUUAAGGAUGGCAGAUCAUAGCCGAGUUAAAUCAAUGGAUAUUUUACGGAGUGUUCAAACUACAAUUGCAGUCGAAUGUUAUAUUUUAGUUAUAACAUUCAACUUUAUCGUAUCUAAUUUUAUUAAGACGACCCUGACUUUAUUAAACAAAGGUCAAGAAUGAUUGGGGUCGAGAUACUUUGAUAAUUGGCAAAGGCGGAGAUAAAAUGGUAUUACAAAUGUACCUAGUACACUAUCACGAUGUCAUAUUGUAACACAACUAUAUCGUAAAAAUAUAAUAAAAAAAUAAAAUUUUAAUUAACAUCUAAUCAUCUUGGUUCAAUAAUAAUUUAAGACAUUUAAACAUGACUUUAUAAAAAGCCACUUAGUUUAUUUUCUUCUCUUAAUAGCUAGUAAAUAAGAAUUAGUUAGUAAUUUUACCUUCAAGAUGUAGUAACUCUUUUACUGCAUUCGAAAGGCCAUAAAAUGAUAAAAAUAAGACAAAGAAGGUAAAUUAGUAGUAUGAUUGAUACUAAGGUUAAGUUGAGGGUAGGGUUGGACUACAAAACCCAUAGGAUAGAUUAGAUUGUUACCCGGGGGUCGGCCGUUUGUAGGACAGGGUCGAAAUCAGACCCCUAGCUACUAAAACGGCUGCAUAGGGCAAAAUAUGGGAGCAUUUGGAGAUCGAGAUUUGGAAUCAGAGAGCUAGCUUCAAGCUCUUUUCAAAGGUAUAAGAGUUAAUUUUAUAGGAUUUGAAAGGACUUUGCAAUCUUUGUUCAAAGUCAGUGUUUGUAUUGGUGAUUUGGGUUUUUUGCAAUAAAAUUAGAACUAGUACUCUUGACUGUUUUGUGUAAUUGGAGAAACAUUUGUAGUUGAAAUUUUAGAGGUAUUUAGAUGAUUGAUUAUGCCAAGUGUAUGAAAAAUUUUGUGUUAAUCUAAUAGUACAAAUAAAGGAUAUUUGAUCAUUAGUGCAAAUUGAUAUCAAAAGUUGACAGGUUUAGGUUGAGUAGGAUUUCUUUGAUAUCUGAAGAUCUAUUAGUUGGAUUAAGAAGAAAAUUGGCAUAUUGUUGGAGGACUUAAAGAUCAAGCUACAUACCAAUUUUGAAACAAAGUUAAUAGUUGAAGAAGGAGUAAUCAUUGCUGGGAUUUUUGCUUUACUUUUCAAGUUGGUAGUCAAGUGACAUUGGUGCAAAUUUUGGAGGUUUUCUCACAAUGUACAAGUUGAAUUGGGCUAAAAAUUCUUGAGCAUUUAGAAGACUUACAUUGACAAUUACAUGAAAAAUUCUACAUCAAGUGGAUGGUCGAAUUGGAUGUUAUAGCUUGUUAAAGCUCACUGAUUAGGAUUGAAGUUUACAAGAAAAAAAAUCUAAAUUGCUUAAAUAUGAAAGUAACAAGGUAAUUGAGAUUUAUGUAUGGUUAAGACUACUAAGAAGAGUGUUUUAAGUACUUUUGAAUUGAAAUUCAGAUUAUAUUCUUCUCGCAUGGAUGAAACCUAUUAGGGUUUCUUGGCUACUUGUGAAAUAUAAUCUCACCUUCUACAACUAAGUGCCCAGUGCAUUUUUGAGCAAAACAACACAUAAUACAACAAUAGGGAGUCUCAAUCGCCAAUAUCUAAAUUGAUGUCAGACAAUGAGCUUAGCUCCAAUGAUGAUGCAGUAGCAACAAUUAUGAAGGUGUUGUCAUAAUACAUGAAGUCUUGCUUGAGAAUGCUCCGGGCACCUGGGUAUGGAAGGAAGAAUGGAAAUUGUAAUAACAGAAUCUUAAUUCUAAUAGAAUAUUAAUAAUGCUCUAAUUAGUCCAUAAUAAUGCUAAGUAAGCUUAAUCAAAUUAAAAAAAAAUCUCAAAGAAAGUUAAAAUAAAUAAUAAGAAUUCUUAAAGAAAUAUUAAAAGGAUCAAAAUAUGACUCAAAUACAUCUCAAUUCAAUCUUAAUUUAAUUCUAGUUAAAUUUCUAUUGAACUUCAUUCAAACUUUAGGCCAAAACUAAUUGAAUCUUAAAUCCUAAUAAAAUCCUAUCUCUUAAAUCAAACCCUAAACAAACUUUAAAUCAAAUCCCAAUCAAAUCCUAAAUCCUAAAUCAAACCCUAACUAAAUCCUAAACCCUAAACCAAAUCCUAAUCCCAACCUUAAAUCCUAAAUAAAACCCUAAUGAAAUCCUAAACCUUAAAUCAAAUCCUAAUAAUUUUUGUAACAAAUUUAAACCUCAAUAAAAAAUGAAUAAACCAUUGAUCUUAACUCAAAUUUUUCACACUUUUAAACAAAUAAAUUAAAAACAAGAGCAAAAAAAUUGAUAAGGAUCGGAGUUACCAAAUUGACGAUAACUUCAAAAAUGUGCUCAGGUAUUGGUCGGCUUCCUUCUCUAAUCUUGAUGUCAAUCUUCCAGAGCCAAUAUCUCUCCUUUGUACCGUUUGAUUGAUCUCAAAAAUCUCAUACAUAUAGAAAAAUAAGUCUUAUAUUCUCUCACAUAAGUUUUAUUCCAAUCCAAUAAGUAGAUUGCAAGAAAUCUUAAAAACUCCCACUAGACCUAAAAUUCUACUUUUUUAGACCUUGAUCCACUUAAACCUCAAUAUUCCUCAAUUUAAUCAUUAAAUCAAGCUCAAAUUCAUGUCACAUAUUAAACACAAUUAUAACCAUAAAUCCACAAAAUUUUAUCUGUAGAUCUAUUACAAAAUUCUUAAAAUCAUCCAAAACAUAAACCCUAUUUUAUUUCAUAAAAUCCAAAUCAUUCUAAAUAAACCUUGAUUUUGCAAAGCUCUUACUAAAUCAUAUCAACUCCAAAUCACCCAAAAUCAACACUCAUAGAAACCCUAUCCAAUCUUCUAUCAAACCCUAUUCUUCGAUCUACCAAAGAGUCCUGGAGUCAUCGUCAGGACUUGGUUUUGUGCCUCAAGGUCUGAUUUCGACCCUGGUUCAUAAUCGGCCCUCUCCGGGUAUCAACAUCUAGUUUUUUUUUAAGUAAUUUUUACUAGAAUUUACUCUUAAUUUCCUCCUAAAGAUGUCUAUAUCAUUUAUUUUUCCAAUCUAUCUUAUUUUGCCUUAUUUUUGGCCCUACAAAGUAAGUAGAAGCUAUUUUUUUCUAAAAGGGCAGCAUUACUACUAAAAUUUUUACUACCUUCCUAUCUUUUAUCCAUAUUUUUCUACCUUUUCAUUUAACUUGGCUCUCCUAUAAUAAGAUCUAUAUUAUCAUCUUUCACCAUAUAGUCAUGUUACAACAUGACAGCGUCCGACACCCUAGAGUGAUGGAUCAAUGUGGCAGUUCGGGGGAAAACUUGAUAUAUUCGCCGAAUUCAAAAAUCUUUGCUAAGGUUAGUAUUGAUUGGAUGACUUAGUAUGAUGUAUACCAUGUGAGUGUCUUAGACACAAGAUUCAAUACUUUGCAUAUGGCAGACUUAUCGACUGAUUUCAAACCAACGUGGGAGUUGAAACAGAACAUCGCCACUGCACCUUUAUGUCAAACUAUCACUCUAGCAAUCACAGCAAAGCCUCGGACAAUUAAGGUCUAUGAAAGUAUUAAGGAACAUGAGUUGAUUUACUAGAAUUUUUUUUUUUUGCAUCAUAAAUCCACUUUUUUUUGGACUUAUCAUGAUCUAUAAGGUAUCUCUAUUGAAGUUUGUGAGUAUCAUAUCAUUUUAAAGGAGAAUGCUAAAUCGAUAUGGGAGAGGCAACAUCGCCUUAAUCCUAAAUAUUCCUUCAUGGUGAAGGAAGAAUUGGACAAGCUUCUUACAAUUGAUUUUAUUUAUCCAGUAUCGAAUAGUGAGUGAGUUUCUUCAAUCAUGAUGGUACCAAAAAAGAACAAAAAAAUCUAAUUUUGUCAAGAUUUCUGGAAACUUAAUGCGGCCACUGAGAAAGAUUACUUCCCAUUACCUUUCAUGGAUAGUAUAUUAGAUGUCGUAGCAGGUCACAAAUGUUAUUUGUUCCUUGAUGGAUUUUUUGAGUCUAAUUAAAUUCAAAUUGCACUAGUAUCAUGUUGUAACACGAUUAUAUAGUAAAAAAAUAAAUGAAAAGGAUUUUAUUAAUAGUUAUUCAUCUUGGAUGUUAGAAAUAGUAGCCAAUUUCAGUGCCAAUAUUUAGGGGCCAGUUAAUGUCACCCCGUUGCAAGCUAUACCACCGUACAUGACAUCAGCAAUAUACUCCACUGGCGUCAUCAAACCAAGUAUCCUCCGUACCAACAGGACAACCAAGAUCAUUUUCUAACCCUACAUGGAAUAAGCUUAAUAGGUAUACAUCAGUGGAGAUACCCAAUAUGCUUGAUGGGAGGUGCAAGAAGACCACUUCGUUGUUUUUGUUGCAGAUAGAUUAGUCAUUAUGUUAGUAAAUAUUCUAAUCUCAGAGCCAUGAUGAUUACACGCCAGUGUGUAGAAAUUGCAAGUAGUUGGGGCAUACUUAUCUGAAAUAUAAUGUUCCAUUCAAUUUUAAUAAUCGGGACUAAGAGAUCCAAAGCCAAGGAAAAAUUGAGGAGAUAGUAAAUUGGAUGGAAUGUGUCCAAGCCGUUCUUACCAAGAGUCGACAAAAGAAAAAAUGACCAAUUCAACAUUUGGGUGAUCCUGAUGCAAAGGGCCAAUUUGACCCAAUUAUAGGGAUAUCCAAUCCAGAUCUUGUUACAGGCCUCUUACCCAGUAUGAGACCUGACUCGGUUGGUCAACCUAAUGAGGUCUCGAUUAUGGAGGCUUCAAUUCCAUUUCAAGCUGUUCCGUUCUCUAUGUCGUUUUGGAGAAAAUGUCCUUUCCGUGGAAAAAUCUUUUUAGAGGUGGAAAUUCCAUAGAAGCACGAUCUGCUAUUCCAAUUUGGAGUCUAGGACGAAAGAAUAGAGGACCUCACGGAAUUAAAGAGAAAAGGGAGGAAAAAGAAGAGGGUAUUGGGAGAUCAGGAUUUUGAGGUCGGAGAGCUAGCUUCAAGCUCCUUCGAAAGGUGUAAGACUUGAUUUUUCAUAGGGUUUGGUAGGACUUUACAAUCGUUGUUCAAAGUUUGUGUUUGUAUUGGUGAUUUGGAUUUUUUGCAAUAAAAUUAAGGCUAGUAUUCUUGACUAUUUUGUAAAAUUGAAAAAACAUUUGCAGUUGAAAUUUUAGAGAUGUGUAGAUGGUUGAGUAUGCCAAGUGCAUACAAAAAUUUGUAUUAAUCUAACGAUACGGAUAGAGGAUAUUUGAUCAUUAGUGUAAAGAAGUAUCAGAAGUCGACAUAUUGGAGUUGUUUAGGGUUUCUGUAAUAUCUAACGAUCUAUUAGUUGGAAUAAGGUGAAUUUUGACGUAAUAAGUCGAGGACUUAAAGACGGAGCUGCAUAUAAGGUUUGAAUGAGAAUUAACGGUUGGAGAAGGAGAAAUUAUAAAUCAAGAUACUUCAUCAACUUUCUAGGUGUUAGUCAAGGAACAUCAGUGUGGAUUUAUGGUAUUUUCUUGCAAUCUGUAAGUUAGAUUGGAUUGAAACUUCUUCAGCAUUUAGAAGACUUGCAAAGACACUAGCAGUAGAAGUUCUACAUCAAUCGGACGAUCAAAUUGAGAAUUUCAGCUUGCCGAAGCUCGUUGUUUAGGAUUAGGAUUUAAAAAUUAAAAAAAUAAAAUAAAAUAAAAAUAAUAUUAAAUUAAAAAAUUAAAAAAUAAUACUAAUAAAAAUAAAAUAAAAUAAAACUAAAAAAUAACAAAAGAAUUUGUGCUUGUAAUAUCUUGAAGUUAUUAAAAAUAGUGUUUUUAAGCACUUUGUAUUAGAAUUAAGCUUUUGCAUUGAGGUCUAAAAUAAUUUGUAUUUAGAUGGUUGAAAUCCAUUAGACUACUUGAAUACUUGUAAAACAUCAUUUUAUCUUCCACAGCCAGAUGUCCAGUGCGUUCUCAAGCAAGAUAGCACGUAAUACGAUAUAAGUGGUGAAUCCGACGUGAAAUACUUGAGUUGGGAGGUAUUAGAAUUCAUUUAUUUUUAUUUUUAUUUUAUGGAGAAUGAAAAUAAAAAUUUUGAAGGAGCUUUAGGAGGAGCUUCAAGUGGAGCUUCUGGUAGGAUUUCUUCUAAACAACAAGGUAUGUACAUGGAUCUGUCCAUUGCUAGUAUGUUUCAAGCCUUAUCAUUAUCUAUGCAGCAACAACAAAGCCAUGAUUGCAAAGAAGCUUUAGUAACCAAAGCAUUAUAAACAGUGGUCAAUAAAAUUAAUCAAUUUGAUGGAAGGGAUAUUUCAAAGUAUUUAAGAUGUUAUGUUCCAGAAAUGGAAUUAAAUCGAGUUUCUGAGAAGAAGAUGGUUAAAUUAUUUAAACUUGCCACGAUACCGGAGAUAAGAGAGCAUAUUACAUCAAUUAUGGAGCAUUAUGGAAUUUCAUGGGAGAUUUUUUCACAUGCAUUAAAAGACGAAUAUUUCUUGGAGGACAUUGAUUAUGUUACUAAGAAACUAUUUCUAGAAUGGAUUGAGUGGCCUAAUAAGAAUUUACAAGCAACAAAGCUACUAAGGAAAUUUGAGAGGUAAUAUUCUCAAUUAUCGAAGGUAGAAAAAUUGACAUUAGAGCCGAACAAGGUUGAAUUAUUUCUUCAAGCUGCUGUUGGAGAAUUACAAGGAAAAUUGGAGUUGCUUCUUGAAGACAAAGAAGAAGAUGAUGGAUUGACAACAAAGUGGAAAAAUAUUAAAAAUGUGGUGGAUUUGCUUGCAAAAAGAAAAAAGAAGAAGGAUAGGAGUAAUAUCCCAAAAGCAGUAUAAGCACCUAAAAUUCCAGUACAUACAACACGAUCAACAAUGCCUAGUGUUCAACCUUCAACAAUUGUAUCGAAAAAAGGAGAUAUGGAGAUUGAAGAAAUUAUAUGUGGAAUGCGAGAUCUUCAAAUCAAAUUGGCAGAGCUUGAAGAAAAUACUUCUACAAACAAUUUGAAGAAUGUUUCAAAACAAGGAUCUGUACAAGAAUGUAUCUGGUAUGAUGAUGCUUCACAUACUAGGAAGGAUUGCAAUGAAUUUAAUAAUAUGGUACAUCAAAGAGUUAUUUACUGGAAAGAUGGAAAGAUUGCAUUAAAGGAUAUAGAGGAUCUCCUUCAAACCAAUUUUGGCAAAAGAGGUAUAAAAGCAUUGAUUCAAGAUUAUUUAAUAAAACAUGGAAUAGCAACAUGAGAGAGUGCAAGUUAUGGUACUAGAGUAGAUGACGACUUUGGUGAGAGUAUAGAAACUAGUGAAUUUUGAUCUUCUGCCAUUUCUACAAUGUAAAAAGGGAAAAUGCCUAAGGAAGCGUUAUUGAGGAUUGUAUCUUCAAUAUGAGGUACAAUCGGUUGGGAAGAUCUUAUUGAGUUUCUUUCAGUUCAUGCAUAUAUUGCUAAAAGCCAACAAGUAGCUUUGAUGGAAGAAAAGAGACGAGGAAAUUUUGAUGAUACAAGAGAAGGAAAUUCUUCUAAGAGGCAAACUCGAGGAGACAAGGCUCGUGAGGCGGCUUCACAAGAAUUGCCUAUAAAGGAUACUUCAGCAUCAUUGGAAGAAAAAACAAAAGAGACAAAAGACAAGGGUAAUUCAAUUGCUUAUAAACUACUUUCUGAUAUUGAAGUCGCAAAAAAUUUAAAAGGGGUGUUGAAAGAACAUAUAUUAAAUGCUAAGGUGGAAUUCACAUUAAAAGAAAUUUUGGGAAUUGCAAAGAAGGAGUGUCAUGAUGUUAUCAUUGAUAGCAUUAAACAAAAGCGGCAAUUAAUGGAUGAAGUUGGAAUGAGGCAUGCUAUUGAUGCAAGAUUAUAUAAAGAUGAAAAAGAGGUUGAUAAUGGUUACAAGCAAUCAACAAAUGAAAAGAAUGGGUAUAAUCAACGAGUACAUUUUGAAGAUUAUAGUAAUAAUGAAAUAGAAGCUUCAAGCCAUUAUACUCAAAAGCAUUGAGGAAGGGCAAGUACUGAAGUAUUGGUGAAAGUAGAAGAUAUAGAAGAACCAAUUGUUACUUUAGUCGACCAUGGUUCUGAAAUAAAUCUUAUGUCUAAGGAUCUUUAUAAGAAGCAGAAAUGACCAACUGAUAUGGAACAUGGAUGGAUAAUACAAGCUGCUAAUAACAUAUGAGACGAAUUAUAUGGAGCUUGUCAACAUCUCUAAAAUUUGGAUUGGAGAUUUUGCGACAAAACAACAUUUCUUUGUUCAAAAUACAAUAUCUUAUCCAUUGAUUUUAGGACAACCUUAUACUACAGCAACACGGAUGGAAACAAAAGUACUUGAUACUAGUUCUGCUUAUUGAAGGAUGCGUAGUGAAGAUAAAAAGAAAGCUAUACAAUUUCUAAUAGUACAUCCUAAUCGUGAACAAAAUCGAGAUAUAUUGAAGGAGAAACUAUUGUCAAAGGUUAUUGAAGAAUUUAAGGAUUUUGGAGAAGUACUACUAUAAAGCAAGAUUAUGGAGGUACAAAAGAGGAGGUACUUUUGCAAGAUGUAGGUACCUUUGAUGCGAGUUUUAUUGGUAUUUUUGAGAAUGGAAAUAUUAUAUAGAAGAAAGUUGAUGAUUUUAAAAAAAACGAAAGAAAAAGAUUAUAUAGUAUUGAAAGGAAAUUACGCAAGUUAAGGACAUUAGAAGAUAAUGAAGAGGAUUUGGAUGAAAACUUAGAAAACAUAUUAUGAAUCAAACAACAACUUGAUUAUUCGGUGCAUACCAGAGGAUGCACAGGUUCAGAGGGAGUGGAUGUUGUGUUGUAACACAACUAUAUAGUAAAAAUAUAAAUGAAAAAGAUUUUAUUAAUAUUUACUCAUCUAGGAUGUUAAGAAUAGUGGCCAAUUCCAGUGCCAAUAUUCAAAGGCCAAUUAAUGUCAACCCAUUGCAAGCUAUACCACCAUACGUGACAUCAGCAAUAUGCUCCAUCGGCAUCAUCGAACCAAGUACCCUCUAUACUAACGAGACAACCAGGAAUAUUUUCUAACCCUAUAUGGAACAAGCCUAGUAGGUAUAUAUUGAUGGAGACACCCAAUAUGCCUGAUGGAGGGUGCAAGAAGACUACUUCGUUGUUUUCAUUGCAGAUAGAUUGGUCAUUAUGCUAGUGAAUAUUUUAAUCCCAGAGCCAUGAUGAUUACGCACCAGUGUGUAGAAAUUGCAAGUAGUCGGGGCAUACUUAUCUGAAAUGUAAUGUUCCAUUCAAUUUCAAUAAUCGGGACUAAGAGAUCCAAAAUCAAGGAAAAAUUGAGGAGAUAAAUUGAAGACCUGAAGUUUCUCUAGUAAAUUGGAUGGAAUGUGUCCAAGCCGUUUUUACCGGGAGUCGACAAAAGAAAAAAUGACCAAUUCAACAUUUGGGUGAUCCUGAUGCAAAGGGCCAAUUUGACCCAAUUACAGGGACAUCCAAUCCAAGUCCUGUUACGGGCCUCUUACCUAGUAUGAGACUUGACUCGGUUGGUCAACCUAAUGAGGUCCUGAUUAUAGGGGCUUCAAUUCCAUUUCAAGCUGUUCCGUUCUCUAUGCCAUUUCGGGAGAAAUGUCCUUUCUAUGGAAAGAUCUUUUUAGAGGUGGAAAUUCUAUGGAAGCGCGGUCUGCUGUUCCAAUUUGGAGUCUAGGAUGAAAGAAUAGGGGACCUCAUGGAAUUAAAGGAAAAAGGGAGGAAAAAGAAGAGGGUAUUGGGAGAUCAGGAUUUUGGGGUCGGAGAGCUAGCUUCAAGCUCCUUCGAAAGGUGUAGGACUUGGUUUCAUUAGAUUAAAGAAGACUUUGCAAUCGUUGCUCAAAGUUUGUAGUUGUAUUGGUGAAUUGGAUUUUUUGUAAUAAAGUUAAGGCUAGUUUGUAAAAUUGAAGAAACAUUUACGGAUCAUAUUUUGGAGAUAUUUAGAUAGUUGAAUAUGUCAAAUGCAUGCAAAAAUUUGUAUUAAUCUAAUAGUACGGAUAGAGGAUAUUUGAUCAUUAGUAUAAAGAGAUAUUAGAAGUCGGAAUAUUGGGGUUGUUUAGGGUUUCUAUAAUAUCUAACGAUCUAUCAGUUGGAAUAAGGUGAAUUUUGACGUGAUAAGUCGAAGACUUAAAGAUGAAGUUGCAUACAAGGUUUGAAUGAGAAUUAAUAAUUGAAGAAGGAAAAAUUGUAAGUCAAGGUUCGUCAUCAACUUUCUAGGUGGCGGUCAAGGGAUAUCAGUGUGGAUUUAGGACGUUUUCUUGUAAUUUACAAAUUAGAUUGGAUUGAAACUUCUAGAGCAUUUAGAAGACUUACAAAUAUACUAGUGGUAGAAGUUUUACAACAAUCAAAUGAUCAGAUUGAGAAUUACAGCUUGGUGAAGCUUGCUAUCUAGGAUUAUGGUUUAAAAAUUAAAAAAUUAAAAAUUAAAAAUUAAAAAAAAAUAAUAAUAUAAAUAAAAAAAUAAAAUAAAACUAACAAAUAACAAAAGAAUUUAUGAUUAUAUUAUCUUAAAGUUAUUAAAAAUAGUAUUUCUAAGCACUUUGUAUUGAUAUUAAGCUUUAUAUUGAAAUCCAAAAUAGUUUGUAUUUAGAUGGUUGAAAUCCACUAGACUACUUGGAUACUUGCAAAACAUCAUUUUAUCUUCUACAACCAGAUGCCCAGUGCAUUCUCAAGCAAGAUAGCAUGUAAUAUGACAACGUAAGGGUUAUCAAUUUAAAUGGAAUAGAAAGCAUAGUGAAGCAAUGUAGAAGCUUAAGGUGUUAUUGGUGACACCUCUAAUUUUAAGAAAAAUUGAUUAUGACUAUAAUAGAUAAAUAAUUCUUAUUGUGGAUACUAGUCCGAUUGCUAUUGAAUGGGCUAUGGAUCAAGAUGAUUGAAGUAGAAAUAGAUUUGCAAUAUGAUUUGGAGCUAAAGUUCUAAGUAGUCGUCAACGUGCAUAUUCGCAAGUCAAAAGAGAACUUUGGCAGUUGUUUCGGCUAUGAAAGCUGAAAGGGAUUAUUUGAUUGGUGCAGUAGUAGUAAUUGAAACAGAGUAAUUGCCAUUGCUUAGAAUGAUUACUAAUUAUUCAACGCCAGAUAUUCCAAUGUUAAAAUGGAUUGCUUAUAUUAAGUCAUUAAAUCCAGAAUUUAAACAUGUUGCUGGAAAAGAUAAUUUAGAAGUAGACAUGCUAUCUCGAGUAAGAUAUGAAAGAGAAGACGAAAUGGUUGAAGACAUUGAUGAUGUUGGAUCAAAAUUCUAUUCAGUAUCAAAUCUUAACAAAGAAGACAAGCUAUUUCUUGAAGAAUUUUAUGAAGGAGAAUUAUUGGAUAUUGGUCAUUACUUGAAUACCUUGACUAAACAAAAAAAUUGGUCUAUAGAAAAAUUUAAACAAAUAAGAAAAAAUACAUAUGGAUUUUUGUUUCAAGAAGGAUUCUUUUAGAAGAGACCAAAGAAAGGAAUUGGAAUGCCACAAAGAGUGAUAGGCAAUAAAGAAGAGAAAAAAAAAUUAUUAAAGGGGUUUAUGAUAGUUUAUGGGCAAGACAUAGAGGAAUUUGGACUACUUUUGUUAAACUUAAGGAACGGUAUUGGCGGAGAAAUAUGUAUCAAGAUAUGCUCUUAUUUGUAGAGUCAUGUAAAAUUUGUCAAGCAUAUUCUCAUAUAUGACAUCGAGAUGGUCUUCAUCCUACAUAUCCUCUAGCUAUUCAUUUUAAAUGGGUUGUUGAUUUGGUUAUUAUGCCAAUCGGGUUAUGAAAAAUGAGAUAUUUGGUCUUAGCUCAUGAAGAUUUAUCAAAUCAAGUAGAAGGAAGAGCAUUGAGAAUAAAAUCUAUAGAAGGAAUUUGUAGAUUUUUGCUUAAAGAUGUUAUUUUCUACUACAGAUGUGUAGAAAAAAUCACUGCAGAUCGUGGAGAAUUAAAUGCACAAAAAGCUCGUAAGUUCUUUGAAAGAUGUGGAAUUAAACUAUCACAGACUACUGCUUAUAAUCCUAAAGGAAAUACAAAAAGUGAACGUGGUCACCUACCGAUUGUGAAAGCAUUAGUUAAAGCUUGUAAUGGAAAGGUUAGAGAAUGGCCAUGACUUUUUUUAUUUGCAUUAUGGGCUCAUUGAACAACUCAUAGCUGAGUAAUGGGAUGUAUGCCUAUUGAGCUUAUAACAAUUCAAAAACUAAUUAUGCCAAUUGAAAAAAAGUACCUACUUGGAGUGUGCUACCAUGGGAAGAUGGAUUGACAAGAGAAGAACUUUUAGCUAUUAGAAUACAAUAAAUAGAGCAAAGAUUAGAAGAUGUGCAAAUAACAUUAGGAAGGUUAAAAAGAUUGAGGUUACAAAAUAAGGCACGAUUUGAUAAGCAACAUUGAUUGAGGCCUAAAACAAUUGAAGAAGGUGAUUGGAUUUUGGUCUAUGAUAGUAGCUUGGACAAUCAACAUAGUACUUUAAAGAAGUUUUCUAAACGAUGGUUUGGACCGUAUGUGGUAACAACUGUUCAUGAUAAUGCAACUUAUUCAUUGCGGAAGUUAGAUGGAAAAAGAUUAAAAAUAUCAAUUGUAGGGAAGGAAACAAAAAUAUUUAAACAAAGAUACACAGAAAUAAAUAUAAAAGACCUUAGUAAGAACAUAGAUAUUUCUGAACAGGAAGAUGAAUUUGACUUGGAUAACAAAAGUGAUGAAGAGGAUUUAGACGAAGACUUAGAGAAUAUAUUAUGAAUCAAACAACAACUAGGUUAUUUGGUGCAUACCAAAAGAUGCACAAGUUCAGAGGAGGUGGAUGUCGUAUUGUAACAUGACUAUAUGGUGAAAAUAUAAAUAAAAAAGAUUUUAUUAAUAUUUAUUCAUCUUAGAUGUUAGAAAUAGUGGCCACUUCCAGUGCCAAUAUUCAGGGGCCAGUUAAUGUCACCUCAUUACAUGCUAUACCAUUGUACGUGACAUCAGCAAUAUGUUCCACCGACAUCAUCGAACCAAGUAUCAUCCGUACCAAUGGGACAACCAAGAUCAUUUUCUAAUCCUACAUAGAACAAAUCUAGUAGGUAUAUACUGGUGGAGACACCCAAUAUGCCUGAUGGGAGGUACAAGAAAAUAACUUCGUUGUUUUCGUUGCAGAUAGAUUGGUCAUUAUGUUAAUGAAUGUCCUAAUCCCAGUGCCAGUGACGAUUACGCGCUAGUGUGUGGAAAUUGCAAGUAGUCCAGGCAUACUUAUGAGCAAUGUAAUGCUCUAUUCAAUUUCAAUAAUCAAGAUCAGCAGAUCCUAAGCCAAGAAAAAAAUUGGGGAGAUAAAUCGAGGACCUCAAGGUUCUCUAGUAAAUUGCGUAGAAUACGUCCAAGCCAUUUUUACUAGGAGUCGAUAAAAGAAAAAAGGACCAAUUCAACAUUUGGGUGACCCUGAUGUGAAGGGCCAAUUUGACCCAAUUACAAGGACAUCCAAUCCAAGUCCUGUUACGGGCUUCUUAUCCAAUAUAAGACCUGACUCAAUUGAGCAACCCAAUGAGGUUUGUUUAUGGAGGCUUCGGUUCCAUUUCAAGCUAUUCCGUUCUCUCUGCCAUUUAGAGAAAAAUGUCCUUUUCAUGGAAACAUCCUCUUAGAGGCGGGAAUUCUAUGGAAGCAUAGUCUGUUGUUUCAAUUCGGAGUCCAAGGCAGAAAAAUAGGAGACUUCACGGAGCUAAAGAUAAAAGAGAGGAAUAGGAAGAGGGCUGUGGUUGAUAGUUUUACUUAUUCUAGAAGAAACCUCCCAAAAUAAACCUGUAUAGGGGAAUUUGAACACGGGGAGUGACUAGUUGCUUAAGCGUUCAUGUUAGGGUCAAACAAUUAAUUACCUCCAAUGUAUCGUCUCUAUUUCCAUUGUCUAAGUACACAAGGAAACUAUAAUCUCUCUUUUCACCUUAUCAAUCUCUUCCUUACAACAAUUCAGUCAUACCAAUAACUGUUAUUUCCACCAAUAUAUCUUCACUCUUAUAAUCUCUAACUGUAAUACCGCAACAUCACAGCUUCAGCACACAAUUACCCUCAUUCCAAUUACUGGAAUUCUUCACAUAGAACUACCAUUCACAUUACAGUGUUUCACACAACUACAGAUUCACUCUUUCUGCUGAACUACAUUCAGAUUUCAGCAUUCAAUCUCUCUUUUUCUCAUUCAAUAACAUAUAAUUCUAAUCACACUUUCAUUCCAUGAUUCACUUCACAAUAUUCAGAAACUCUCAAUACUCUUAUUUCAAAGAAUAUAACAACAAAAGAAAAGAGGUAGCACCGAGCUUACCUUGGCUUACACUAUCACAGUAAUGGCCGUUUCUUCCUCUCUCUCAUCCUCCUUAUCCUACCAUGAGAUACCAACUGCUACAUCUCUAAUGAAAAUUGCUUUUUUUAACUAUUCAUCCAUUUUAAUUACUGAAUUACCUUUCCAACAGUCAUCUAUCUCUGUUUACACUAUAAACUAAGUAUCUACAAAUCAACAAAUAACUACUUAUUCUACAUAGCCCCACUCCUAACUGUGCAGCGUUCUUGCAAAUAACCAGUUCGAAACAAGAACUGAUGACUCCUUAGCAUUGUCCAUACUCAUAGCUACUGAUUACAAUUCUAAAGUCACUUCUUCGUCUUUCCCGUCUGAUACAUUUAUUGGUACUAUGUUUAAUUUGGCUGUUAAAUCUCCAUUAAGUGCUCCCAAUUCACGGACUUGACUUUCCAAUUGCAGAAUUUGGGUGUCUUUUGCCUCUAAUUGGUAUUGUUGUUGCUUCAUCUUCUAUUCCAAUUUGCCAAUUGAACCUUCAAUUGACCCUUGUGGCUGUCGAACGCUGACCAAUUCUUCGUCCAAUUUCUUUGCAACCUCCUUCAGAGUGUUGAUCUCCCCUUGUAUUUCCUCUGUUUUCACUCUGAAUUGGUCACUCAUCGUCUUCUUUUCCUGUUCCAAAGUCAAUUGUCUCUCUGAACCAUUGGACCCCUCUCCCGAACACUGAUUGGUUCUCCUGUCUGCUAGCUUGUUUUUCCUGGUCCCCAUGGAAGUGCCAAUAAAUUGCUCUUCGGUUUUGGUAGUAUUAGAGCUGCUAUCAUCUUCCCUUUCUCCAGCAAUAGUUGACUCAACUCAUAAACUAUUCCAGAUUGUAUAUAAUUGGAACACAGAAGCGUUACAAUUCUACUUGACCUGUGCUUGUAACUCAACUCUGCAUGAAUUCUGGUGGCCAUGUACGCUGCCCAAUUGAACACCAUAUCCUCGAAGGAGCCUAUUGUCGCAUAUAAUAAUCGUUUAGCCAUAUACGUUGUAUAUCUAUUUAGAUUUUGUCCUCAAUGCUCUUCCUUCUAUUUGAUUUGAUAAAUCUUCAGGAGCUAAGACCAAAUAUUUCAUCUGUCAUAACCCAACUGGCAUAAUAAUCAAAUCAACAACCCAUUUAAAAUGAAUAGCCAGAGGAUACGUAGGAUGAAGACCAUCUCGAUGUCGGAUAUUAGAAUACGAUUGACAGAUUUCACAUGACUCUAUAAAUGAAAGCACAUCUCGAUACAUAUUUUUCCACCAAUAUCGUUCCUUGAGUUAAGCAAAAGUAGUCCAGAUUCUUCUAUGCCUUACCCAUAAACUAUCAUGAAACUCCUUUAAUAAUUUUAGUUUUUCUUCCCUCUAGCCUAUCACUCGUCGUGGCAUCCCAAUUCCUUUCUUCGGUCUCUUCCAUAGGAAUCCAUCUCGAAAUAAAAAUCCAUAUGCUUUUUUUCUUAUUUGUUUGAAUUUUUUUGUAGACCAAUUUCUUAGUCAAGGUAUUCAAGUAAUGACCAAUAUCCAAUAAUUCUCCUUCAUAAGAUUCUCCAAGAAAUAGCUUGUCUUCUCUGUUGAGAUUUGAUAUUGAAUAGAAUUUCAAUCCGACGUCAUCAAUGUCUUCAACCAAUUCGUCAUCCCUCUCGUAUCUUGCUCGAGAUAGCAUGUCUGCUACUAAAUUGUCUUUCCCAGUAAUAUGCUUAAAUUUUGGAUUUAGUGACUUAAUAUAAGCAAUCCAUCUCAACAUUGCAAUAUUGUCGUUGAACAGUUAGUAAUCAUUCCAAGCAAUGGCAAGCAAUCUGUUUCAAUUACUACUACUGCCCCAAUCAAAUAGUCCUUUUCAGCUUUCAUAGCCGAAAUGACUCCCCAAAGUUCUCUUUUGACUUGCGAAUAUGCACGCUGACGAAUACUUAAAAUUUUAGCCCCAAAUCGAACUGCAAAUCUAUUUCCAUUUGAAUCAUCUUGACCCACAGCCCAUCCAAUGGCAAUUGGACUAGCAUCCAUAGUAAGAAUCACUGGUCUAUUGCACUUAUAAUCAACCUUCCUCAAUAUUGGAGGCAACAUCAAUAAUUUCUUCAAUCUUUGCAUUGCCUGAAUAUGCCUUUCUUCCCAUUUAAAUCGGUAGCCCUUGCGUAACAGUUCAUAUAAUGGAUCCGCUAUGUGAGCAUAAUGAGGGAUCCAGAUUCGAUAAAAUAUACAUGCACCUAAAAACUUGCGAACCUUUGUUAAAGAAUCACAAUCCUCUUUCAUCCUUCCAAUUGCAUCAACUUAAGUCGGAUCUGGUUUUCUUCCGUAAGAUCCACAUAAAUGUCCAACAAUCACAACCUCUCGUACUCCAAAUACGGACUUUAUACCCGAUAAUGUAAGAUGAACUUCUCCAAGCCGAGUUAAAAUCUUUUCACAAUCUUGUAUAUGAUCAACAACAUAUUUGCAACACCCCCUCGUAUCUAAAGUUUCAUCCUUGUCUCCUUCUCUGCACCCUUUUAUAGGAACAUCAUCCAGAAAAGACAUAGUCUUUUCCGAAAUAAAAUCUCUCAAUACCUUAUUCAUCCCAUUCAUCAUAUGUGCAACUGAGUUAAUCGCACCUUGAGGAAGAGUGCACAUUCUAACCAAUCCAAGUGGUGUCCUCAUUGUUGUCAUAUCUCUACUUCCUUCGACAAGUUGAAAUUGAUCAUAACCUGAAUACAAGUCACCCAUUGAAUAGAUCGCCCUUCCAGCAAACGCCUCAGCAAAUUCAUCCACAAUAGGUCCAAUUCUUGCAUUCCUAACAGUUACAGCAUUCACCGGCUGCAUAUCUUCAAUAAACCGUAGUGACCCAUUCUUCUUAGGUACCGUAAACCAUCGACUAGAAUACGGCACAAAUGAGGGUUCCAAUAUUUUCAUCUUUAUCUUUUCUUUAAAUAGCUCAACCAAUUUAGGUAAAUGUGCCCUCGAUACUGGAAUCGGUCUUAGAUUCCAAGGUACAUGUGGUACAAUGAAGAUAAUCAUAGGUGUUAUAAUAUUUGGAUCCACACACCCAAUUUCAUGAAAUUCGAAAGCAAACGAUCUACCUUAUUUAGCCAACAUCUUUUUGAAGCAAGUAAUUUCCUCCGGCAAUAAAGAACCAUCAGAACCAAUCUUCAAUUCUUCAAAAGUCUCUUUAGUAAACUGAUGUCUAAUACUCAUUAGAUCUCUUAAACUUACUUCUUUUGAUGCUUCUCCCAUUUGUUCUUUAGAAUCUUCUGGUAAUGGUCCGGCAACAGGCUUUACCUUCUUAUAUGCCGUUUUAUAUCUCGCUUCUAUAGUGACUUCUGGUGCUUGAAAAGAUUCAAGUAUGGUAUAAACCUCCCUUGAAUGAAUCUCAACAAUCUUAUCAUUAUCCCCUAACCCAAUAGAUGUAAUCAAUUCCAAUAAAUUUUCCAGUCCAUUUUCUUCAUAAACACCCAAAAUCCUCUCAUCAUCUUGCAAUGUACCUAUCUUGUGUAACUGUCCUUCAAUAUCAUAUAAUCUUUUUCUUUCUUUUCUUUUAAAAUCACCAACUUUCUUAUACAUAAUAUUUCUAUUUUCCAAUAUACCAAUAAAACUCGCAUCAAAGGCACCUUCAUCUCACAAGAGUACCUCCUCUUUUGUAC